rnacentral:rRNA from 1 species
AUGGAUGUCGCGUCGGGGGCUUUGAUCCCCUUGAUCAACAAGCUCCGGAGCCUACUCGUGGACGAGUACAACCUGGAGAAACGCGUGAAGAAAGGUGUCAAGUCUCUGAUCACAGAGUUGGAGAUGAUGCACGCCGUUCUACGCAAGAUAGGCGCCAAGCCACCGGAGCAGUUCGACGAACAGGUCCUCAUCUGGGCGGGCAAAGUGAGGGACCUCUCGUACAACAUGGAGGACGCCGUCGACGCUUUCAUCGUGCGUGGGGAGGAGGACGGCCAUGACGGUGGCUCCACCAACAUGAGGAACAGAAUCAAGAAGUUCCUGAGAAAGACCACCAAACUUUUUACCAAGGGUAAGGCUCUUCAUCAGAUCUCUGACGCCAUUGAAGAAGCACAGCGGCUCGCCAAGGAGUUGGGCGAGUUGCGCCAAAGGUAUAUGAUUGAGGCGCACGCCAAUGGUAGUCGUGAUGCCAUUGACCCUCGCUUGAAGGCGGUGUACAAAGAUGUCACUGAGCUCGUUGGGAUAGAUCACGUAAGAGAUGACUUGACUGAGAAGCUGUGUGAUUGUGAUGAGAGGUCCAAGGACCACUUAAGGACCAUGUCUAUUGUUGGAUUUGGUGGGUUGGGCAAGACAACUCUCGCCAAAGCAGUCUAUGACAAGAUCAAAGUGGAGUUUGAUAGUGUAGCUUUUGUUUCCGUGUCGCAGAAUCCUGACAUGACCAAGAUUUUCAAGAAGCUCUUAUAUGAACUUGACAAGAGCAAGUAUGCAACCAUCAACGAAGCUGCUAGGGACGAGGGUCAACUCCUCGAUGACUUGAGAAUAUUUCUUCAAGAUAGGAGGUACCUCAUCGUAAUCGAUGACAUAUGGGAUGAAGAAGCAUGGGAAUUUAUCAAGUGUGCUUUCUUUGACAACUGUCUCGGUAGUCGAGUAAUGACUACCACACGCAUAGGCAGCAUCUCUAAAGCAUGUUGCUCUUCUUGUGAUGAUAUAAUAUAUCAGAUGAAUCCUCUUACUGAUGAUGACUCCCAAAGACUCUUCUACAAAAGAAUAUUUCCUCAUGGAAGUAAUUGCCCUGCUGAAUUGGAGCUAGUAUCUAGAGAAAUCUUAAAGAAAUGUGGCGGAGUACCACUAGCCAUCAUCACCAUUGCUAGUAUUUUAGCAAGAAAUGGUCAAGAUCUACAGAUAGAGCCAAAGUAUCACUGGGACAACAUACUUGGCUCUAUUGGUCGUGGACUUACGGAAGGUGGUAGUGCGAAGGACAUGCAGAGAAUAUUGUCCUUUAGUUAUUACGAUUUACCUUCUCAUUUGAAGACUUGUUUAUUAUAUCUCAGUUUAUUUCCAGAGGAUUUUGAGAUAAGGAGAGACCGGUUGAUAUGGAUGUGGAUAGCCGAAGGCUUUGUGCAAGGUGGAGAACAAGAAACUGGACUAUUUGAGCUCAGAGAGAGUUACUUCAAUGAGCUCGCAAAUAGAAAUUUGAUUCAACCAGUAGAUGUUGAUGCUGCAGGCAGUGCAGAAGCUUGUCGUGUGCAUGAUAUGGUGCUUGAUCUAUUAUGUUCCUUGUCCAGUGAACAAAACUUUGCUACAAUAGUAGAUGGUACUCACCAAAGCAAUCUUAUUUCACACAGGAAGAGUCGCAGAUUAUCUUUUCAAAACAGCAUGUCAGAGCCCACCAACCAUUGGGUCAAUGCCACAAGUAUGCCACAAGUGAGGUCUAUUGUUCUCUUUAGAACAAAUACUGAUCUAAUCCAGACUAUUUCAUGCUUUCAAGUUUUACGUGUAUUGGAUUUGGAAGGUUGUGAUCUUGGGAGAAAUCACCACAGUAUUGAUCCCAGGCAUAUUGAGAAUUUAUUACACCUAAGGUAUCUGGGGCUAAGAGGAACUUCUGUUCGUGAGCUCCCUGUGGAAAUAGGGAAGCUCCAGUUAUUGGAGAUACUCGACUUAGCAAUAACUGUAGCAGUGAUUCCGUCAAGUGUUGUCCGUCUAAGACGUUUGAUAUGCCUAAAUGCACCCAAUUCAGUGUUACCAGCUGGGAUUGGGGACCUGACGUCACUGGAAGAGCUGGCAGGAAAAUUGGUGGAUGUGAAAGAGCUAGGGCAACUGGUCAAGCUGAGAGUGCUCCUCCUUUACUGGAAUGAGAACGAUGAGAGCAUGUGUAAUUAUUUGGUGGAGUCCCUAGGCAAGCUGCGAAAAAUGCAGAGUCUAACAAUUUCCUGUUUAGGGGAUGCAAGGUUUGACGUCAGCUGGGAUGGUUGGGUGCCCACCCCAUAG